ACUAUGGAGAGUUUGAUCCUGGCUCAGGAUGAACGCUAGCGGGAGGCCUAAUACAUGCAAGUCGAGCGGUAGAGUGACUUCGGUUGCUUGAGAGCGGCGCACGGGUGAGUAACGCGUACAUGACCUACCUUUAAGACUGGGAUAGCCCUGGGAAACUGGGAUUAAUACCGGAUGUGAUAAUACGUAUAGAGAUGUAUUAUUAAAGUUGAGGCGCUUAGAGAUGGAUGUGCGUCUGAUUAGCUAGUUGGUAGGGUAACGGCCUACCAAGGC
rnacentral:rRNA from 1 species